UCUCCUGCAGCUUCUGGCGGCUUCGCAAGCCCCUUCCCGUGAUGCCCCGCGCCUGGCUGCCGCGGUUGCCGGGCAACGCGCGGUCCCGGUCGCGGGCCUAGCUGGGACCCUCUGGGAGAUGAGGCCGCGAGGUCUCCCGCCGCUCCUGGUGGUGCUCCUGGGCUGCUGGGCCUCCGUGAGCGCCCAGACUGAGGCCACCCCGGCGGUGACGACAGAGGGCCUCAACUCCACCGAGGCAGCCCUGGCCACUUUCGGAACUUCCCCGUCGACCAGGCCCCCCGGGACUCCCACGGCUCCAGGGCCCUCCUCGGGCCCCAGGCCUACCCCGGUCACGGACGUUGCUGCUCUGUGUGUCUGUGACUUAUCCCCAGCACAGUGUGACGUCAACUGCUGCUGUGAUCCUGACUGCAGCUCCAUGGAUUUCAGUGUCUUCUCUGCCUGCUCAGUUCCAGUUGUCACGGGCGACAGCCAGUUUUGUAGUCAAAAAGCAGCCAUCUAUUCAUUGAAUUUUACAGCAAACCCACCUCAAAGAGUAUUUAAACUUGUUGACCAGAUUAAUCCAUCUAUUUUCUGCAUUCAUAUUACAAACUAUAAACCUGCAUUAUCCUUUAUUAAUCCAGAAGUACCUGAUGAAAACAAUUUUGAUACAUUGAUGAAAACAUCUGAUGGUUUUACAUUGAAUGCUGAAUCAUAUAUUUCCUUCACAACCAAACUGGAUAUUCCUACUGCUGCUAAAUAUGAGUAUGGGGUUCCUCUGCAGACUUCGGAUUCGUUUCUGAGAUUUCCUUCGUCCCUGACAUCAUCUCUGUGCACUGAUAAUAACCCUGCAGCGUUUCUGGUGAACCAGGCUGUUAAGUGCACCAGAAAAAUAAAUUUAGAACAGUGUGAAGAAAUUGAAGCCCUCAGCAUGGCUUUUUACAGCAGCCCGGAAAUUCUGAGGGUACCUGAUUCAAGAACAAAGGUCCCUAUCACUGUUCAGUCCAUCGUCAUUCAGUCUCUAAAUAAAACACUCACCCGACGGGAAGACACUAAUGUGCUGCAGCCGGCUCUCGUCAACGCUGGACACUUUAGCCAUUGCAUGAAUGUUGUUCUUGAGGUAAAGUACAGCCUCACAUACACAGAUGCAGGUGAAGUCACCAAAGCUGAUCUCUCAUUCCUUCUGGGGACAGUUAGCAGCGUAGUGGUCCCACUGCAGCAAAAGUUUGAAAUUCAUUUUCUUCAGGAAAAUACCAAGCCAGUCCCUCUCAGUGGAAACCCUGGUUAUGUCGUGGGGCUCCCAUUAGCUGCUGGAUUCCAGCCUCAUAAGGGGUCUGGGAUUAUUCAGACCACAAAUAGAUACGGACAGCUUACUAUUCUUCAUAGCACAACUGAGCAAGACUGCUUAGCACUAGAGGGGGUCCGGACCCCAGUAUUAUUUGGUUACACUAUGCAAUCUGGCUGUAAACUAAGACUGACUGGAGCUCUCCCGUGUCAGCUCGUAGCACAGAAGGUGAAGAGCCUGCUGUGGGGCCAGGGCUUCCCAGAUUACGUGGCCCCUUUUGGAAAUUCCCAGGCCCAGGACAUGCUGGACUGGGUGCCCAUCCACUUCUUCACCCAGUCAUUCAACAGGAAGCAUUUUGUUUUGCAGGAUUCCUGCCAGCUCCCAGGGGCUUUGGUUAUAGAAGUGAAGUGGACUAAAUAUGGAUCCCUACUGAAUCCACAGGCCAAAAUAGUCAAUGUAACUGCAAAUCUAAUUUCAUCCUCCUUUCCUGAGGCCAACUCAGGAAAUGAAAGGACGAUUCUUAUUUCCACUACGGUUACAUUUGUGGAUGUGUCUGCACCUGCAGAGGCAGGCUUCAGAGCUCCGCCAGCCAUCAAUGCCAGGCUGCCCUUUAACUUCUUCUUCCCGUUUGUUUGACAAUGCUCAGAUGCAUCAGUUCCUUAAUAUACAUGUGAAAUUUGAAAACUGUACAUUCGACAAACACUGGAAUUUACUUUGAGCCUCGCCAGGAAUGUGACAAUCAUUCAGUGAGCCCCAGGCACAGGACCACAGAGAUGAAUGAAAGCUACACUGUCUGUGGCAUUCAGUCUGCUGAGAAGACUGCUAAAAUCAGAUAGGCUCCACUAAGCAGCAGUGACAGCAGUGAGAAGACAAAGCCUGGGAGUGCAGGAGACCUACCAUUGAUGAUCCGGGCCACCCGCCACAGCCGAAGCAGAAUCAGCAGGCCCAGAGCCUCAAACUCGUGCUUCUGGAACAGGAGGACAAGAUCGAGGACGAAUGAGACCACCACCACGAUGGCAUCCAGGAUCUCAAACUUGUGGUGAAAGAACUCCAGGCGGAAGACAAAUAACUUAAAGAUAAUCUCCAUCAUAAAAAAGGCCAAGAUGGUGAUGCUCAUGUAGUGGAAUACCUGAAGGGGACAAGGAACCACAGUCAGGGGAGAUUGGGCCUCUGGGAGGUCAAGCUGCCCUCGCAUGCACCUGCCUCGUCACCAGCAAGAUAAUUCAUCUGUUGGACAAAUCCAGAUGCUCAGUGCUGGAAACACAGCUGUGAACACCACAGAUGAGGCACCUGCUCUCUAAAGGGCAAUUAGGCAAUGUCAGAAUUAAAGCAUCCUCUAGACCCUUUGGACCAGCAAUUCCAUGGCUAAGAACUUACCCUACAGCUGAGCUCCUGCGUGCACAGGGACUAAGGAUAUUUACUGCAGCACUGUUUGCAGAACAAAUACUUUCUGCAUUGUUUGUAAGACAACAGAAAUGUCCAUUAGACAAAAGUGUCCAUUAGAAGUUACUCUUGAAAUGAAUGGUGGCACUUCCAUAUGGGGCCCUAAGGACACAGUUGUUAAAACGAUUAAGCUGGGUGUGGUGGCUCGAGCCAAUAGUCCCAGUUACUCAGGAGGUUAGGUGAGGCCUCCUGCCUAGAGCCCAGUUUGAGGCCAGUCUGGGCAACACAGCAAGACCCCAUCUCUAAAAUAACUGAAUGAAUGAAUGGAGGCAGAUCCAUAUGUUCCAAUUAGAGUGAUCACCAAGGCUGGAGUACAGUGGCAUGAUCUCGCCUCACUGCAACCUCUGCCUCCUGAGUUCAAGCAAUUCUUCUACUUCAGCCUCCCGAGUAGCUGGGAUAACAGGCACACACCACCAUGCCUGGCUAAUUUUUGUAUUUUUAGUAGAGAUGGUGUUUCACCAUGUUGGCCAGGCUGGUCUCAAGCUCCUUACCCCAAGUGAUCCACCUACCUUGGCCUCCCAAAGUGCUGAGAUUACAGGCGUGAGCCACCGUGCCCAGGCAAGUUUGUAUUUUUCUAUUCCUGGGGACUGCUGUUGCUGGGGUGCUCACAGAACAGAUGCUCAAUAAAUAAUUCAACACAGCCCUGCCUCGGCAGUCUGAGUCCUGGAAGGGACCUUGGGGACUGCCGACUGCAGGUUCCUCGGCUACAGGGACGGCUGCUGUGCUUACAAACCAGCUUCUGCCCGGAGAUGUGAGGUGCCUGCCCCAGCUCACGUGUGCUCACAGUGGGUGAAAAGGGUGAAGGGGAGAAGAGUCCCGGUGUCCUGGAGAAUUCAGGAGAGCUGCUAUGGGAAACACAGCCUCGUGGGCUUUGUGAUGGGCUGACAGAGGACAGGUGGGGAGCAGUGUGGAGUGGGUGGGUGGUCUCACUGAUGGCGGCUGUGGGAAGCAGCUGGUGGUGAUGGCAGUCACCGUGACAGCUGGUGAUGAUGUUGGCGAGGGCACUGAUGGCAGGGUGGAGGUGACAGCAUUGGGGAUACCAUAAUGGCAGUGGAAAUGCAGCAGUGGGAGGAGCCCCAAAGGACCUCGAGUGACCCCUCUCUUCCCUUGGAAAUUCCAGGCCAUCACCGUCCCCCCCAGGGCCUUGCUGCUCACGCUGUCAGAUCAGUAGAUUCUGGCCUCUGAAAAAAUUAAUCUGCCAUUAUCUUGGCAAUUUCUGCAGUUUCAGGUUAAAAUUAAACAAGUUCAGGCCUCUGCAAGAACAGACUAUUAAUCCUUUGAUCCUUUCAACCUGUAGGUAAUUAUUUCAGUAAUUAUUUUAUGACGUGGUUUCUUGUGAAAAUUGCAUGGCAAAUUGCUUUGUAAUGGUAAUGAAGUUUUCACACAUAUUCAAAUUCAGCAAGCUUAAUAAAGGUGCAAGCCUUUA